CCUACGGGGGGCAGCAGUGAGGAAUAUUGGUCAAUGGCCGCAAGGCUGAACCAGCCAAGUCGCGUGAAGGAAGACGGAUCUAUGGUUUGUAAACUUCUUUUAUAGGGGAAUAAAGGUAUCUACGCGUGGAUAUUUGCAUGUACCCUAUGAAUAAGCAUCGGCUAACUCCGUGCCAGCAGCCGCGGUAAUACGGAGGAUGCGAGCGUUAUCCGGAUUUAUUGGGUUUAAAGGGUGCGUAGGUGGUUUUUUAAGUCAGCGGUGAAAGUUUGUGGCUCAACCAUAAAAUUGCCGUUGAUACUGGACGACUUGAGUGUAUUUGCGGUAGGCGGAAUGCGUGGUGUAGCGGUGAAAUGCAUAGAGAUCACGCAGAACUCCGAUUGCGAAGGCAGCUUACUAAGCCAUAACUGACACUGAAGCACGAAAGCGUGGGGAGCAAACAGGAUUAGAUACCCGGGUAGUC
rnacentral:rRNA from 1 species